rnacentral:rRNA from 1 species
GUGGGGAAUAUUGCACAAUGGGGGAAACCCUGAUGCAGCGACGCCGCGUGAAGGAAGAAGUAUUUCGGUAUGUAAACUUCUAUCAGCAGGGAAGAAGAUGACGGUACCUGAGUAAGAAGCACCGGCUAAAUACGUGCCAGCAGCCGCGGUAAUACGUAUGGUGCAAGCGUUAUCCGGAUUUACUGGGUGUAAAGGGAGCGUAGACGGAUAGGCAAGUCUGGAGUGAAAACCCAGGGCUCAACCCUGGGACUGCUUUGGAAACUGCAGAUCUGGAGUGCCGGAGAGGUAAGCGGAAUUCCUAGUGUAGCGGUGAAAUGCGUAGAUAUUAGGAGGAACACCAGUGGCGAAGGCGGCUUACUGGACGGUGACUGACGUUGAGGCUCGAAAGCGUGGGGAGCAAACAGGAUUAGAAACCCCAGUAGUCC